rnacentral:tRNA from 1 species
GGACGUGUCGCGCCCCAGUAGUGCGUCUUCGUACCGGUCCAGUAGUAGCGCGCUGGAGCG